rnacentral:RNase_P_RNA from 1 species
AGCGGACUGAGCAGUCGCGUGCCCGGCGACGGGUAUGAGGAAAGUCCGAGCUCCACAGGGCAGGAUAACGGCUAACGGCCGCCGGGGGCGACCCUAGGGAAAGUGCAACAGAGAUAUACCGCCUGGAAUAUUUUUUCAGGUAAGGGUGGAAAGGCGAGGUAAGAGCUCACCAGCAUAUAGGAGACUAUAUGGCUCUGCAAACCCUAUCCGGAGCAACACCAAAGAAAGACUAUACGUUUGCCCGACGUGUCUUGAAAAGGUGGCGUUGAGCUUUAGUGGCAACACAAGGCCAAGAUAGAUAACUGUUCUCGACAGAACUCGGCUUAUAGGUCUGGUCU